UUCAGUCCCUCCCUCCUAUUCUCAGAAAUCUCCAUUCUCCUCCAUAGCACCUUCCUCCCUCCGUCGGUAGAGUCGUAGACCGUAGCGCGUCCCUCCCUCCUCCUCCAUCCGCGACGCCGUUCUCCUGCCCCGCCAUCCUUCUCGCGCAAUCCGCGGCAGUGGCGCGUUCCUCGUCGCCAAGUCGCGAGUCCCAACCGUGGCGCUCUUCUCCAUCAAAGAAGCAGCAGAAGUUCUAUCACUAUCAACAGGAAUGGAAGAAGAGAGCGAAUCGGUAAGAGUAAAGGACAUCAUUCUGAAGCGGAAGAUCGGAAAUGGGUCGUUCUCGGCGGUGUGGAGGGCGGAGCACAGAGGCACCGGCGAAGAGGUGGCAGUGAAACAGGUCUUCCUCUCCAAACUCAACCUUCGCCUUAAGUCAUUGUUCCACUGCGAGCUCAAUUUCUUGUCCUCCGUCAACCACCCCAACAUCGUUCGCCUCCUUGAUUUCUUCCAGUAUGAUGGGAUGUGCGUACUUGGUGAUGGAGUUCUGUGCUUGAGGGAACCUUGCAGUUAGAGCACCCCAUCAUGACUCAAAAUCUAAUGAACAAGAGAUCAACUCAACUCAAGAAUGGCAUAUACUGAACCUUACUUGAAUCAUAAGCUGUGCCCUCUUUCCAAGAUUCAGGUAUGUUUGUAGGUGCCUAAAACUAUGACGAUCAUUUUGGAAUUUCGACCAGCCCAAAUGGAAAGUUCCUUGUGUUUUUAUCUGCGAGAAGUACUGUGGAUUCAGGAGUGCACGAUGCUACAAACUCACUACAUAGAAUUGAUUGGCCAACCGAUGGAAAACUCACUACAAACUGCAUCAUGUUGAGUGUAUAAGGUUGAUAUGGUUGUUGUUAUUGAUGGGAGCAGAAUUUUGGGACUUGGAGAUUGGAGUUCAUGGAAAUGGCAAUCCAUUGGGAAGCUUGAUCUGUAUGUUGCAGCUGCUGGGAAAAAUCCUAAACGAGUUCACGCCCUGGGAUGAUUCCGUCGCCAUGAAUGGCAUUGUUGCUGGUCUAAAAGGAUUCAGAGAUGAUGAUGUGAAGCCAUUUUCUGCUGGUUUGAAUUCAGCUGAGACUCAGGCCAUGUAAAUGCAGUGCCAGUGAGGGAGAUCCAUCAAGCAGUGCUGCACAGGCAAGC